GAUGAACGCUGGCGGUAUGCUUAACACAUGCAAGUCGAACGGUCACUUCGGUGAUAGUGGCGGACGGGUGAGUAACGCGUGAGAAUCUGUCUUCAGGUCGGGGACAACAGUUAGAAAUGACUGCUAAUACCGGAUAUGCCUUAUGGUGAAAGAUUUAUUGCCUGAAAGAGAGCUCGCGUCAGAUUAGCUAGUAGGUGGUGUAAGAGACUACCUAGGCGACGAUCUGUAGCUGGUCUGAGAGGACGAUCAGCCACACUGGAACUGAGACACGGUCCAGACUCCUACGGGAGGCAGCAGUGGGGAAUUUUCCGCAAUGGGCGAAAGUCUGACGGAGCAAUACCGCGUGAGGGACGAAGGCUUUUUGGGGUCGUAAACCUCUUUUCUCAAGGAGGAAUCAAUGACGUGUACCUGAAGAAUAAGCAUCGGCUAACUCCGUGCCAGUAGCCGCGGUAAU
rnacentral:rRNA from 1 species